CAAUUUGAUUUACAAAUGGUCAGGGAUGGAGAAUCCACCAUGAACCUUGUGCUCCAUCUGGAAGGACAGAGUGCUAUGAUGUCUGUCAAGGCAAGCUGGGAGAUCACUCCAAGAAGAUAAACAAAUUACUGUUUUGACUGAUCACAGUAUCCUGGCAUCACAGUCAAUGUCAGCCUAAUACCUGUCCUUCAAACAGAGUUUUCCAUUAUGGAUACUUUCCGGAUGCUCAGCAACCACUUUGACCAUGCUGAACGGGAUGAGAGGGCAAAAUUUCCAGAAGCAAGUUCUGCAGAAAGCAUCCAGAGAGCAACUAACGUGCACAAAACACAUUCUCAGAAAGCAGCCAC